GCCUAACACAUGCAAGUCGAGCGGUAGAGAGAAGCUUGCUUCUCUUGAGAGCGGCGGACGGGUGAGUAAUGCCUAGGAAUCUGCCUGGUAGUGGGGGAUAACGUUCGGAAACGGACGCUAAUACCGCAUACGUCCUACGGGAGAAAGCAGGGGACCUUCGGGCCUUGCGCUAUCAGAUGAGCCUAGGUCGGAUUAGCUAGUUGGUGAGGUAAUGGCUCACCAAGGCGACGAUCCGUAACUGGUCUGAGAGGAUGAUCAGUCACACUGGAACUGAGACACGGUCCAGACUCCUACGGGAGGCAGCAGUGGGGAAUAUUGGACAAUGGGCGAAAGCCUGAUCCAGCCAUGCCGCGUGUGUGAAGAAGGUCUUCGGAUUGUAAAGCACUUUAAGUUGGGAGGAAGGGUUGUAGAUUAAUACUCUGCAAUUUUGACGUUACCGACAGAAUAAGCACCGGCUAACUCUGUGCCAGCAGCCGCGGUAAUACAGAGGGUGCAAGCGUUAAUCGGAAUUACUGGGCGUAAAGCGCGCGUAGGUGGUUUGUUAAGUUGGAUGUGAAAUCCCCGGGCUCAACCUGGGAACUGCAUUCAAAACUGACUGACUAGAGUAUGGUAGAGGGUGGUGGAAUUUCCUGUGUAGCGGUGAAAUGCGUAGAUAUAGGAAGGAACACCAGUGGCGAAGGCGACCACCUGGACUAAUACUGACACUGAGGUGCGAAAGCGUGGG
rnacentral:rRNA from 1 species